rnacentral:rRNA from 1 species
CAAUAGCGUAUAUUAAAGUUGUUGCAGUUAAAAAGCUCGUAGUUGAAUUUUGGGCCCGGAUGGGCGGUCCGCUUCACGGCGUGUACUGUCCGGCUGGGCCUUUCCUCUUGGUGAUCUGUCGUACUUGUGCGGCAGUGGAACCAGGACCUUUACUUUGAAGAAAUUAGAGUGUUCAAAGCAGGCUAGACGCCCGAAUAUAUUAGCAUGGAAUAAUAAAAUAGGACGUGCGGUUCUAUUUUGUUGGUUUUUGGAAUCGCCGUAAUGAUUAAUAGGGACGGUCGGGGGCAUUAGUACUCACAUGCUAGAGGUGAAAUUCUUGGAUUUUGUGAAGACUAACUUCUACGAAAGCAUUUGCCAAGGACGUUUUCAUUAA